UACGUAGGGUGCAAGCGUUAAUCGGAAUUACUGGGCGUAAAGCGUGCGCAGGCAGUGAUGUAAGACAGGUGUGAAAUCCCCCGGGCUUAACCUGGGAACUGCAUUUGUGACUGCAUCGCUGGAGUGCGGCAGAGGGGGAUGGAAUUCCGCGUGUAGCAGUGAAAUGCGUAGAUAUGCGGAGGAACACCGAUGGCGAAGGCAAUCCCCUGGGCCUGCACUGACGCUCAUGCACGAAGCGUGGGGAGCAAACAGG
rnacentral:rRNA from 1 species